GCAAACUUGGUCAUUUAGAGGAAGUAAAAGUCGUAACAAGGUUUCCGUAGGUGAACCUGCGGAAGGAUCAUUAGAGAGCGUCCGCGCCCGUUUCCUCCCCCCUUUCACCCGGGGAGGGCGGCCGGUACCCCCCUCCAAACAUUGUCUACGUGAAUCGUGUUGCCUCGGCGGGACGUAUCCGUCUCGCGGUCGACUCGGCGGCGUAUCGCCUCCGAGCCCGAGUCCGCCGGUGGAACAGCCGAAAUUCGUAUCUUCUGGGAACCCGUCUUAGCGAACGUUGAACGGUAAACUUUAAGCGAAAACUUUCAACAAUGGAUCUCUUGGUUCCGGCAUCGAUGAAGAACGCAGC
rnacentral:misc_RNA from 1 species